GCCCGGGUGGUGAAACAGGUAGACACAGGAGACUUAAAAUCUUCCGGCCGCGAGGCCUUGCGGGUUCGAGUCCCGCCCCGGGCA
rnacentral:tRNA from 1 species